rnacentral:lncRNA from 1 species
UAACAACGUAUUAAUUUAAAACUUAUAAGUUCUAACAUAAUCUUAGUUCAAAAUAUUUGAUAUUGGAAGAAGAUGCAUCCGCUUUUCCAUCACUCAUUACCACCACUAUUACCAUCUUUCAAACCUUAAUCAUCACCAUCAUCAUCUAUAUAUAACAAUUGAAGAACAAACUAAUUAAAUUCAUACAUGGUUACAAAAAUAAUGAAGUAACAAAUAAUUUUAUUAAACUAAAUAAAUUACCUCCACCAACAAAACCAUUCAACCGAUUUCGAGCACACAUCAAAGCUUCCACAUUUUUGGUUAAAAGUCGACUUCUAUACUUGUUAAUGACAUGUGAACCAAUAUGCUGAAUGCAGAUUCAGAUGCACCAGUAGUAAU